UACGAAGGGGGCUAGCGUUGCUCGGAAUCACUGGGUUUAAAGGGUGCGUAGGUGGGCAGGUAAGUCAGUGGUGAAAUCUCUGGGCUUAACCCGGAAACUGCCGUUGAUACUAUCUGUCUUGAAUGUAGUGGAGGUGAGCGGAAUAUGUCAUGUAGCGGUGAAAUGCUUAGAUAUCGCUUGGAACGCCAAUGGUGAAAACAACUUGCUGGGGGUGUGCUGACGCUGAGACACGAAAGCCAGGGGAGCAAACGGG
rnacentral:rRNA from 1 species